UACAGAGGUCCCAAGCGUUGUUCGGAUUCACUGGGCGUAAAGGGUGCGUAGGCGGUUGGGAAAGUCUGGCGUGAAAUCUCCGGGCCUAACCCGGAAACUGCGUUGGAAACUAUCCAGCUUGAGGGUUGGAGGGGGGACUGGAAUUCUCGGUGUAGCAGUGAAAUGCGUAGAUAUCAAGAGGAACACCAGUGGCGAAGGCGGGUCCCUGGACAACACCUGACGCUGAGGCACGAAAGCCGGGGGAGCAAACAGG
rnacentral:rRNA from 1 species